GAUGAACGCUAGCUACAGGCUUAACACAUGCAAGUCGAGGGGUAACGAGAGGAAAGCUUGCUUUCCUCGUCGACGACCGGCGCACGGGUGAGUAACGCGUAUCCAACCUGCCCCCAACUAAGGAAUAACCUUGCGAAAGUAAGACUAAUACCUUAUAAUUUCCUCAGAUGUCAUCUGACGAGGAAUAAAGAUUUAUCGGUUGUGGAUGGGGAUGCGUCUGAUUAGCUUGUUGGCGGGGUAACGGCCCACCAAGGCAACGAUCAGUAGGGGUUCUGAGAGGAAGGUCACCCACAUUGGAACUGAGACACGGUCCAAACUCCUACGGGAGGCAGCAGUGAGGAAUCUUGCGCAAUGGGCGAAAGCCUGACGCAGCGACGCCGCGUGAGGGAAGAAGGCCUUCGGGUUGUAAACCUCUUUCAGGCGGGACGAAGCCACUCGGGUGAAUAGCCCAGAGGGUGACGGUACCGCCAGAAGAAGCCCCGGCUAACUACGUGCCAGCCGCCGCGGUAA
rnacentral:rRNA from 1 species